AGCGAACGCUGGCGGCAGGCCUAACACAUGCAAGUCGAACGAACUCUUCGGAGUUAGUGGCGGACGGGUGAGUAACACGUGGGAACGUGCCUUUUGGUUCGGAAUAACUCAGGGAAACUUGUGCUAAUACCGAAUGUGCCCUUCGGGGGAAAGAUUUAUCGCCAUUAGAGCGGCCCGCGUCUGAUUAGCUAGUUGGUGAGGUAACGGCUCACCAAGGCGACGAUCAGUAGCUGGUCUGAGAGGAUGACCAGCCACACUGGGACUGAGACACGGCCCAGACUCCUACGGGAGGCAGCAGUGGGGAAUCUUGCGCAAUGGGCGAAAGCCUGACGCAGCCAUGCCGCGUCAAUGAUGAAGGUCUUAGGAUUGUAAAAUUCUUUCACCGGGGACGAUAAUGACGGUACCCGGAGAAGAAGCCCCGGCUAACUUCGU
rnacentral:rRNA from 1 species